CUCCUGGAAACGGGUGGUAAUGCCGGAUGCUCCAGUUGAUCGCAUGGUCUUCUGGGAAAGCUUUCGCGGUAUGGGAUGGGGUCGCGUCCUAUCAGCUUGACGGCGGGGUAACGGCCCACCGUGGCUUCGACGGGUAGCCGGCCUGAGAGGGCGACCGGCCACAUUGGGACUGAGAUACGGCCCAGACUCCUACGGGAGGCAGCAGUGGGGAAUAUUGCACAAUGGGCGCAAGCCUGAUGCAGCGACGCCGCGUGAGGGAUGGAGGCCUUCGGGUUGUAAACCUCUUUUAUCGGGGAGCAAGCGAGAGUGAGUUUACCCGUUGAAUAAGCACCGGCUAACUACGUGCCAGCAGCCGCGGUAAUACGUAGGGUGCAAGCGUUAUCCGGAAUUAUUGGGCGUAAAGGGCUCGUAGGCGGUUCGUCGCGUCCGGUGUGAAAGUCCAUCGCUUAACGGUGGAUCCGCGCCGGGUACGGGCGGGCUUGAGUGCGGUAGGGGAGACUGGAAUUCCCGGUGUAACGGUGGAAUGUGUAGAUAUCGGAAAGAACACC
rnacentral:rRNA from 1 species